UGCAGUGAUGAUGGGUUAUAAUCUCGUUAAUCUGAUAUUUUGCUGAAGAGACUUACGUCCCAACCAUUCAUUAUAUAUCUGAGC
rfam:Capsella rubella cultivar Monte Gargano unplaced genomic scaffold scaffold_3, whole genome shotgun sequence.